rnacentral:rRNA from 1 species
CGGUAAUACGUAGGGUGCAAGCGUUAAUCGGAAUUACUGGGCGUAAAGCGUGCGCAGGCGGUUAUGCAAGACAGAUGUGAAAUCCCCGGGCUCAACCUGGGAACUGCAUUUGUGACUGCAUAGCUAGAGUACGGUAGAGGGGGAUGGAAUUCCGCGUGUAGCAGUGAAAUGCGUAGAUAUGCGGAGGAACACCGAUGGCGAAGGCAAUCCCCUGGACCUGUACUGACGCUCAUGCACGAAAGCGUGGGGAGCAAACAGGAUUAGAUACCCUGGUAGUCCACGCCCUAAACGAUGUCAACUGGUUGUUGGACGGCUUGCUGUUCAGUAACGAAGCUAACGCGUGAAGUUGACCGCCUGGGGAGUACGGCCGCAAGGUUGAA